rnacentral:rRNA from 1 species
AUGUAUAUUCCUACAACAUAGCAUUAAUGCAUCGGAUCCCAUUAGAACUCUUUAGUUAAGUGCACUUAGGCUAGAGUAGUACCGGGAUGGGUGACUACUCAAGAAGUCGUAGUGUUUUACAUG